rnacentral:misc_RNA from 1 species
AAUUUUCAUUUCUAUGCAAAUUUAUUUUAAGACAGGAAAUACUCUCUAGUUUGAACUAUUCAGGAAAAUUAUGCAUACAUGUUAGUUGUUCUAUAUAUUUUUUUCUGUGCAAAUUUAUAUCAAAAUCAGGGGGGAAUUUUUUAGUCACUAUUAACCAUACUUGUGAAUCAUUUUUCAUUGUCUUAUUUUUAAUCCAAAUUAAUUAUAAUAAGGGAAAAGCAUGCUAAUCACUUCUUGAUAACAGUAAGUGGGUACAUUAGAUGUGGAUUUUGCAUGAAUUUAGACAAAAAAAGAUAUUGAAAAAUUCCUUAUUUGUAAACACAUUUGUAUGCACAUCACAUAAAAAAUCUGUAUGUGGUGUCUGUGAAAAUUGGUAAAUACAUGUAUCUUGUGAAGUGAUGUUAGAUUUAUUGGAAUGCGUGUCUGUAUAUAAUUAGCAACAUUUGAUUCAAAAACUUACUGUAUCACAACUUUCAAAUUGUUAUGAUUCUAUUGUUUCUUUGUCUUCUUUCCAUGUAGUGAAAAUUGAAUUAAUUACUUUCUUCUAAAAAUAGAGAUAUGAUGAAGAUACAACAAAUGAUAUAACUAUCCCAUAUUUCCCGUAGGCUGAAAAUUCACAAAACCCAUAGACAGCAGACAAGUGUUAUAAAAAUUACUUAAUAUAACACUUCUUGAUGUGGUUUAAGUAGCUCAUGCACUGGAAUUGCUACAAAUUUCAAGAAAUCUGUGAGCAUAAAGCAAACAAUAUUUGUUUUAAAGUCUCCGAAGUUUCUAGUUGGCAAAGACAUUUAUUCCAGUGCGAAAAAGAAACUUAAAUCACAUUUGCUUUCUCUCAGACUCCUGCAGCUUUGUCCCUCAAGCCAAACUUCCUUUUGCAUACAUGUGAACAUCUGCUAGCCAAGGGUUCUGAUCCAUACUCUAUUCUGUUGAACAGGAGAGCGGAUUGUAAGCCCUUGGCUAACUGAGAAUACAUACUUCUUGUUUAAAAUCUUUUUUAUUUUUCUAUCAAACUACGCAAAUUCAUAAUAAAAAUGCCAUGUUGAGAUCAGUAAUAUUUUUGAAGAAUAAACUUCUAUUUUUGUGC